GAUGAACGCUGGCGGCGUGCCUAAUACAUGCAAGUCGAGCGAACGGACGAUAAGCUUGCUUCUCUGAUGUUAGCGGCGGACGGGUGAGUAACACGUGGAUAACCUACCUAUAAGACUGGGAUAACUUCGGGAAACCGGAGCUACUACCGGAUAAUAUUUUGAACCGCAUGGAUCAAAAGUGAAUGAGGGUCUUGCUGUCACUUAUAGAUGGUUCCGCGCUGCAUUAGCUAGUUGGUAAGGUAACGGCUUACCAAGGCAACGAUGCAUAGCCGACCUGAGAGGGUGAUCAGCCACACUGGAACUGAGACACGGUCCAGACUCCUACGGGAGGCAGCAGUAGGGAAUCUUCGACAAUGGGCGAAAGCCUGACGGAGCAACGCCGCGUGAGUGAUGAAGGUCUUCGGAUCGUAAAACUCUGUUAUUAGGGAAGAACAGAUGUGUAAGUAACUGUGGACAUCUUGACGGUACCUAAUCAGAAAGCCACGGCUAACUACGUG
rnacentral:rRNA from 1 species